AGAACUAAUAAUAUUUAGAAUCAAAUGAAGGAGUAACGUCCUGAAGGGUUCUCCCUAAUACUCCGACAUGCGCGUAUAUAGCAAGAUAUAUGGGUAUGAAGCUCGGUAAAGUCGAUUGAGAAGUUUCCCUAACAGUUAAAGCUGAGGAAAAGCGAACUAUAGAUAGUCGAGAAGCUGAUAGAUCGGGGGUCAAU
rnacentral:ncRNA from 1 species